rnacentral:rRNA from 1 species
ACUUGCUUUCUUUGCCGGCGACCGGCGCACGGGUGAGUAACACGUAUCCAACCUGCCCUUUACUCGGGGAUAGCCUUUCGAAAGAAAGAUUAAUACCCGAUGGCAUAAUGAUUUCGCAUGGUUUCAUUAUUAAAGGAUUCCGGUAAAGGAUGGGGAUGCGUUCCAUUAGGUUGUUGGUGAGGUAACGGCCCACCAAGCCUUCGAUGGAUAGGGGUUCUGAGAGGAAGGUCCCCCACAUUGGAACUGAGACACGGUCCAAACUCCUACGGGAGGCAGCAUG